AAUUGUGUACAAGCCACCUAGCUAAUAAAAUACUGGGGCUUGCGGUCAUUAGUUACAUUUCAACCACAGCGAUUCCCCAAUUGAGGCGCAACAGAGUUCACCCGCAAAUGCAGGAACACCGGAAAUAAUAACUAAACCAACGAAUGAGAAAUGGUGGAGGCUACUAGAACGAAGUGACAUUUUUUUCCGAAUAAACGUGGAGAGAGACGGGACAAUCGUGGAUCCUCUGGAGAGCCUCAACAACAUCAUGAUGCUGACGAGGCAGAGAAAAGUCUCACCAGAUCAGAACUCCUCAAGAAACACCAGCAGAGACCCACAGAGAAGACAUCUAAUUGCUGCUCUGGCUGUGGGAAAAAAUUCAACUCUUCAAUGAAACUUAAAAUACAUCAAAGAAUUCACACUGGAGAGAAAUCUUUUGGCGGUGAUCAAUGUGGGAAGAGUUUUACUUCAUCUAGCCAUCUGACUAUACACCAGAGAAUACACACAGGAAAGAAACCUCAUAGCUGUGAUCAAUCUGGGAAGAGUUUUACUCGAUCUGACCAUCUGACUUUACACCAGAGAAUACACACAGGAGAGAAAUCCCAUAGCUGUGACCAAUGUGGGAAGAGUUUUACUUCAUCUGGCCAGCUGACUUUACACCAGAGAAUACACACAGGAGAGAAACCUCAUAGCUGUGACCAAUGUGGGAAGAGUUUUACUACAUCUGGCCAGCUGACUUUACACCAGAGAAGACACACAGGAGAGAAACCUUAUAGCUGUAAUCAAUGUGGGCAGAGAUACACUGAUAAAAUAUAUAUGAUUAAACAUCAGAAAAUACA